rnacentral:rRNA from 1 species
GACAGAGGCCUCAAGCGUUUAGGCGGAAUCACUGGGCUUAAAGCGUGUGUAGGACGGGACGCCCUAAGUACCUUGUGAAAUCCCACGGCUCACCCGUGGAACGGCUGGGUAUACUGGGCGUCUUGGGCCAACUAGGGGCAACUGGAACAAGCGGUGGAGCGGUGAAAUGCGUAGAUAUCGCUUGGAACGCCAACGGUGAAAACAGGUUGCUGGGGUUGU